UACGUCUGCUGCUUCUGCUUCUGCGCAGAGCACAGCCGGUCACGUCACACAGCUGCCCUGAUUCAAAAGGCCGGGAUGCAGAUAACAUAACAGCAACUUUAUUUUAUUAAGAUAACUAGAACUUGGUUGUCCUACUUUUCGUUCUGGUGUUCUGGUACUCAGUGCAUAAAUAUGGCGCGCAACGUUGGACGUCUUUCGGUUAAGUAGACCGCGAUCUUUCUCUGCGACAUGCAAGAGAAGUUCCAACACACUGUCAGGUAUUUCGCAGAGAUUGUCAGCGUUUCGCAGAGGCUGUUAAGGUUGGGAAAAACCCUUGGCAUGCCGGGUAUAGUGAUGGAACAAUACCCAGGAGGUCUCGGAUGUACCGUACCUGAAUUAGGACUCGGUGACUACCCUGAGUUGAAGCCCAUAGCAAAAAAGCAGUGGUCAAUGGUCACAGAAGAGGUUUCCCGGCUACUCGACAACCAUAACCUAGACUUUGUUGUUCUUUGCGGUAUUGCGGCUCGUACCUGUAUUCAAGGCACAGCUCUCACGCUCAUAGAGCAAGGAUUCAACGUACACGUAGUGUUAAUACUAUGUAUUCUCUCAUGUGAUAUACCUGUACCUUAUAAAUAUUUUUGUGAAA